rnacentral:rRNA from 1 species
AGUGAACGCUGGCGGUAGGCCUAACACAUGCAAGUCGAACGGCAGCACAGUAAGAGCUUGCUCUUACGGGUGGCGAGUGGCGGACGGGUGAGGAAUACAUCGGAAUCUACUUUUUCGUGGGGGAUAACGUAGGGAAACUUACGCUAAUACCGCAUACGACCUACGGGUGAAAGCAGGGGAUCUUCGGACCUUGCGCGAUUGAAUGAGCCGAUGUCGGAUUAGCUAGUUGGCGGGGUAAAGGCCCACCAAGGCGACGAUCCGUAGCUGGUCUGAGAGGAUGAUCAGCCACACUGGAACUGAGACUCGGUCAAGACUCCUACGGGAGGCAGCAGUGGGGAAUAUUGGACAAUGGGCGCAAGCCUGAUCCAGCCAUACCGCGUGGGUGAAGAAGGCCUUCGGGUUGUAAAGCCCUUUUGUUGGGAAAGAAAAGCAGCAGGUUAAUACCCCGCUGUUCUGACGGUACCCAAAGAAUAAGCACCGGCUAACUUCGUG